rnacentral:rRNA from 1 species
GGUUAAGCGACUAAGCGUACACGGUGGAUGCCCUGGCAGUCAGAGGCGAUGAAGGACGUGCUAAUCUGCGAUAAGCGUCGGUAAGGUGAUAUGAACCGUUAUAACCGGCGAUUUCCGAAUGGGGAAACCCAGUGUGUUUCGACACACUAUCAUUAACUGAAUCCAUAGGUUAAUGAGGCGAACCGGGGGAACUGAAACAUCUAAGUACCCCGAGGAAAAGAAAUCAACCGAGAUUCCCCCAGUAGCGGCGAGCGAACGGGGAGCAGCCCAGAGCCUGAAUCAGUAUGUGUGUUAGUGGAAGCGUCUGGAAAGGCGCGCGAUACAGGGUGACAGCCCCGUACACAAAAAUGCACAUGCUGUGAGCUCGAUGAGUAGGGCGGGACACGUGGUAUCCUGUCUGAAUAUGGGGGGACCAUCCUCCAAGGCUAAAUACUCCUGACUGACCGAUAGUGAACCAGUACCGUGAGGGAAAGGCGAAAAGAACCCCGGCGAGGGGAGUGAAAAAGAACCUGAAACCGUGUACGUACAAGCAGUGGGAGCACGCUUAGGCGUGUGACUGCGUACCUUUUGUAUAAUGGGUCAGCGACUUAUAUUCUGUAGCAAGGUUAACCGAAUAGGGGAGCCGAAGGGAAACCGAGUCUUAACUGGG